rnacentral:rRNA from 1 species
AGUGAACGCUGGCGGUAGGCCUAACACAUGCAAGUCGAACGGCAGCACAGUAAGAGCUUGCUCUUACGGGUGGCGAGUGGCGGACGGGUGAGGAAUACAUCGGAAUCUACUUUUUCGUGGGGGAUAACGUAGGGAAACUUACGCUAAUACCGCAUACGACCUACGGGUGAAAGCAGGGGAUCUUCGGACCUUGCGCGAUUGAAUGAGCCGAUGUCGGAUUAGCUAGUUGGCGGGGUAAAGGCCCACCAAGGCGACGAUCCGUAGCUGGUCUGAGAGGAUGAUCAGCCACACUGGAACUGAGACACGGCCCAGACUCCUACGGGAGGCAGCAGUGGGGAAUAUUGGACAAUGGGCGCAAGCCUGAUCCAGCCAUACCGCGUGGGUGAAGAAGGCCUUCGGGUUGUAAAGCCCUUUUGUUGGGAAAGAAAAGCAGCAGGUUAAUACCCCGCUGCUCUGACGGUACCCAAAGAAUAAGCACCGGCUAACUUCGUG